GACAGAGGGGGCAAGCGUUGUUCGGAAUUACUGGGCGUAAAGGGCGCGUAGGCGGGAUGGCAAGUCGGUCGUGAAAUCCUUCGGCUCAACUGAGGAUCGUCGAUCGAUACUGCCGUUCUUGAGGAUUGCAGAGGAGACUGGAAUUCCCGGUGUAGCGGUGAAAUGUGUAGAGAUCGGGAGGAACACCGGUGGCGAAGGCGGGUCUCUGGGCAAUUCCUGACGCUGAGGCGCGAAAGCGUGGGGAGCAAACGGG
rnacentral:rRNA from 1 species